ACCAACUCUUUUCAAGGGCAGCAUUAGAACCAACUUGGACCCUCUAGGCCUUUACUCAGAUGAUGAUAUAUGGAAGGCUCUAGAGAAAUGUCAGCUUAAGGAAACUAUCAGCCGUCUACCAAAUCUCUUGGACUCUUCCGUGAGUGAUGAAGGAGGAAAUUGGAGCUUGGGACAGCGCCAACUGUUUUGUCUUGG